AGUUUAGCUAAUGUUGCCCGUACCGUAAACCGACACAGGUGGGUGGGAUGAGUAUUCUAAGGCGCGUGGAAGAACUCUCUUUAAGGAACUCUGCAAAAUAGCACCGUAUCUUCGGUAUAAGGUGUGGUUCGCUUCGUAUUAGGAUUUACUCCGAAAGCGAAGAAACUUACAACAAAGAGUCCCUCCCGACUGUUUACCAAAAACACAGCACUCUGCUAACUCGUAAGAGGAUGUAUAGGGUGUGACGCCUGCCCGGUGCUCGAAGGUUAAUUGAUGGGGUUAGCAUUAGCGAAGCUCUUGAUCGAAGCCCGAGUAAACGGCGGCCGUAACUAUAACGGUCCUAAGGUAGCGAAAUUCCUUGUCGGUUAAAUACCGACCUGCAUGAAUGGCGUAACGAGAUGGGAGCUGUCUCAAAGAGGGAUCCAGUGAAAUUGUAGUGGAGGUGAAAAUUCCUCCUACCCGCGGCAAGACGGAA
rnacentral:rRNA from 1 species